rnacentral:tRNA from 1 species
AAAUGAGAAGCAAAAUAAUUUGUAAUUAGUUUCGACCUAAUUUUUGGUAUUCACUUACCCUUAUUUU